GAUGACAAAGGUGACCCCGGCUCACCAUUUGACCUGCGUCCCUCCCAUGGUCCCCUCCGGGCUCCGGCUUCAGCAAGCCCGCUUGUCCAGGCGGAGUGGGAGGCUGCUUCGGAUCACAUCCCCCCGGCUUGCGGGCAUGUCUCACCCCCGGCCAGGGGCAGGAGGGCGAACUAAUGGGGAUGUGUCCCCCGGUGCAGGGCAGGGGUCUGGAGGACGGAGAGCCGGGGGUCCCAGCCCCCCGUAUUUUCCCGACAGCUCAGACACUGCAGCGGCAGCGGCAACUCGGCCUCGGCGAACGCCGGUUCCCCUCGCAGGCAGCCAGUCCCUAGCGCUGGCAUGUUGGUCCUCGCCGCCGCGAGGCUGUGCGCAUCUCUCGCCUCCCGGGCAUCUCAACCCAUCGCUUCAGAGCUCGAGCCGAGGAAAGCGGCGGCUCCGCGCCGCGCCGCUCUUCGGCCGCCAGUGCCGGCGGAGCUGGCAGGGGCGGCGACGCUGCCGCGCUCCUGCAGACCCCUCCCCUCCCUCCCUCAGCCUCCCGGCACGCGCGCUGCGCUCGCCCCGGGAGGCAGCGGCGAUGGUGGCGGCGGCGGUGCGGGGCUCCCACCCGGCGCGAUCGCAGGUUGACACGGCCGGCGGACUGGAGCGGAGCUCUGUGUGGAGAGCGAGGUGCUUCACCUCUCGGGCAGAUCUUGGCUGGGUACGGCUGCACACUUGGAUGUCUGCAUAAUGCAAGCUGCUGUCCUCUGUCUGAGGGCCUCGACUCUCUUCUCCAGAUCUGGGCAACUCCGACACCAGCUCAUAGGAACUGAACCAGCAGGCUCUACCAAGCUUGAGUCCCAUCUAUCCUGAGUACAAGAAACUGAGCCCCAGACAGUGAUGUCUAAAAGUUACACUGGGAGCAACCUCUUCGUUUUUGC